rnacentral:lncRNA from 10 species
GCCAGCAAGGGAGACAGUGUCUAGAGGCAGUCAUCUAGCAAGAUGGAGACUUACAACAUGAGGCACAUACAAGAGUGACCUCCCAUCGUCUUUGAGGCAUUCUAUUUCUUGUGUCUUUGUGAAGCUUCCUAUCUUUGCUUUUCAACUAAGAUGAAACAGCAUUUAAAAGAAAAUGCCAUGUGAGAUGAGAUCAGGAGAAUGGAUUCUUUCUUUCAUCUGAAUAGAGAGCUGCUGUUCGAGAUUCAGAGUGUCAUGUGAAUGUUCGUUUCAUGGAUGUAUUGUGUACUG